rnacentral:rRNA from 1 species
CCUACGGGUGGCAGCAGUGGGGAAUAUUGCACAAUGGGCGAAACCCUGAUGCAGCGAAGCCGCGUGAGUGAAGAAGUAUCUCGGUACGUAAAGCUCUAUCAGCAGGGAAGAAAAUGACGGUACCUGACUCAGAAGCCCCGGCUAAUUACGUGCCAGCAGCCGCGGUAAUACGUAGGGGGCAAGCGUUAUUCGGAUUUACGGGGUGUAAAGGGAGCGUAGCUGGGAGGACAAGUCUGGAGUGAAAUCCCGGGGCUUAACCCCGGAACUGCUGUGGAAACUGUGCGGCUGGAGUGCAGGAGAGGUAAGCGGAAUUCCUAGUGUAGCGGUGAAAUGCGUAGAUAUUAGGAGGAACACCGGUGGCGAAGGCGGCUUACUGGACUGUAACUGACGUUGAGGCUCGAAAGCGUGGGGAGCAAACAGGAUUAGAUACCCGGGUAGUC